rnacentral:rRNA from 1 species
UCAAGUUAUUAAGGGUGCAGGGCGGAUGCCUUGGCACUAGGAGCCGAUGAAGGACGUGAUAAGCUGCGAUAAGCUUCGGGGAGUUGCACGUAAACUUUGAUCCGAAGAUUUCCGAAUGAGGAAACUCACUUAGAGUAAUGUCUAAGUAUCAUUAAGUGAAUACAUAGCUUAAUGAGGGGAACUCAGGGAACUGAAACAUCUAAGUACCUGAAGGAAGAGAAAGAAAUUCGAUUCCGUAAGUAGCGGCGAGCGAACGCGGAUUAGCCCAAACCAAUAAAGUUUUCUUUAUUGGGGUUGCGGACAUAUCAUAACGAAGAGGUAUCGUAAUUGAAGAGGUUUGGAAAGACCCACCACAGAAGGUAAUAGUCCUGUAUGUUAAACGAGAAGACUUUAGAUAUGAUCCAGAGUACCACGGGACACGUGAAACCCUGUGGGAAGCAGGAGGGACCACCCUCCAAGGCUAAAUACUACCUAGUGACCGAUAGCGUAUAGUACCGUGAGGGAAAGGUGAAAAGAACCCCGGGAGGGGAGUGAAAUAGAACCUGAAACCCUGCACUUACAAGCUGUGGAAGCACAUUUCUUGUGUGACCGCGUACUUUUUGUAGAACGGGCCAACGAGUUACGUUAAGUAGCAAGGUUAAGCACUUAAGGUGCGGAGCCGUAGCGAAAGCGAGUUUUAACUGAGCGUUCAGUUACUUGACGUAGACCCGAAACCGGGCGACCUACCCAUGAGCAGGAUGAAGCGAAAGUAAAAUUUCGUGGAGGUCCGAACCCACGAGCGUUGAAAAGCUCGGGGAUGACUUGUGGGUAGCGGUGAAAUUCCAAUCGAGCCCGGAGAUAGCUGGUUCUCCCCGAAAUAGCUUUAGGGCUAGCCUCAAGGUGAGAGAUACGGAGGUAGAGCACUGAAUGUCCUAGGGGGUAUUGCACCUACCGAAGACUAUCAAACUCCGAAUGCCGUCAUCUUAUACUUGGGAGUCAGACUGUGGGUGAUAAGAUUCAUAGUCGAAAGGGCAACAGCCCAGAUCGUCAGCUAAGGUCCCUAAAUGUAAGUUAAGUGGUAAAGGAUGUGGGAUUGCACAGACAACCAGGAUGUUGGCUUAGAAGCAGCCACUCAUUCAAAGAGUGCGUAAUAGCUCACUGGUCGAGUGAUCCUGCGCCGAAGAUUUCCGGGGCUAAAACUUACUACCGAAGCUACGGCAUCAUUAUGAUGGGUAGGGGAGCUUCCCAUACGGGUUGAAGCAUGACCGUAAGGACAUGUGGACAGUAUGGGAGUGAGAAUGUUGGCAUGAGUAGCGAGAUGUGGGUGAGAAUCCCACAGGCCGUAAACCCAAGGUUUCCAGGGGAAGGUUCGUCCGCCCUGGGUUAGUCGGGACCUAAGCUGAGGCCGAAAGGCGUAGGUGAUGGACAACAGGUUGAUAUUCCUGUACUACCGAUAACCGUUUGAGAGAAGGGAUGACACAGUAGGAUAAGCUAAGCACACUGUUGGUUAUGUGUGCCCAAGCAUUGAGGCAGUCAAAGUAGGCAAAUCCGCUUUGAUAAUGCUGGGAUGUGAUGGGGAGCGAAAUUUAGUAGCGAAGUAGCUGAUUUCACACUGUCAAGAAAAGUCUCUAUCGAGGUUAAAGGUACCCGUACCGCAAACCGACACAGGUGGGUGAGGAGAGUAUCCUAAGGCCAGCGAGAGAACUGUUGUUAAGGAACUCGGCAAAAUGACCCCGUAACUUAGGGAUAAGGGGUGCCACCAUCAGGUGGCCGCAGAGAAUAGGCCCAAGCGACUGUUUACCAAAAACAUAGGUUUCUGCUAAGUCGCAAGACGAUGUAUAGGAGCUGACGCCUGCCCGGUGCUGGAAGGUUAAGGGGAUCUGUUAGAGCAAUCGAAGCAGUGAACUUAAGCCCCAGUAAACGGCGGCCGUAACUAUAACGGUCCUAAGGUAGCGAAAUUCCUUGUCGGGUAAGUUCCGACCCGCACGAAAGGCGUAACGAUUUGGGCACUGUCUCAACAACAGACUCGGUGAAAUUGUAAUUCCGGUGAAGAUGCCGGAUACCUGCGACAGGACGGAAAGACCCCAUGGAGCUUUACUGUAGCUUGACAUUGGGUCUUGGUACUACAUGUACAGGAUAGGUGGGAGGCUUUGAAACCAGGACGCCAGUUUUGGCGGAGCCAUCCUUGGGAUACCACCCUUGUAGUACUGGGACUCUAACCAUAGGCCAUGAAUCUGGUCUUGGGACACUGUCAGGUGGGCAGUUUGACUGGGGCGGUCGCCUCCCAAAAGGUAACGGAGGCGCUCAAAGGUUCUCUCAGUACGGUCGGAAAUCGUACGUAGAGUGUAAAGGCAAAAGAGAGCUUGAUUGCAAGACAUACAGGUCGAGCAAGGAUGAAAAUCGGACUUAGUGAUCCGGUGGUUCUGCGUGGAAGGGCCAUCGCUCAACGGAUAAAAGCUACCCUGGGGAUAACAGGCUUAUCUCCCCCAAGAGUCCACAUCGACGGGGAGGUUUGGCACCUCGAUGUCGGCUCAUCACAUCCUGGGGCUGUAGUAGGUCCCAAGGGUUGGGCUGUUCGCCCAUUAAAGUGGUACGCGAGCUGGGUUCAGAACGUCGUGAGACAGUUCGGUCCCUAUCCGUCGCAGGCGUAGGAAAUUUGAGAAGACCUGUCCUUAGUACGAGAGGACCGGGAUGGACGUACCUCUGGUGUACCAGUUGUCCUGCCAAGGGCAUGGCUGGGUAGCUAUGUACGGAAUGGAUAAGCGCUGAAAGCAUCUAAGCGCGAAGCCAACUUCAAGAUAAGAUUUCCCACCGCAAGGGUAAGACCCCAGAAAGACUAUCUGGUUGAUAGGUCGAAGGUGUAAGUGCAGCAAUGUAUUUAGCUUAUCGAUACUAAUAGGUCGAGGACUUGACCAA